rnacentral:rRNA from 1 species
GACGAACGCUGGCGGCGUGCUUAACACAUGCAAGUCACGGGGGCCCGCAAGGGCAACCGGCGAACGGGUGCGUAACACGUGAGCAAGCUUCCGAUUAGUGGGGGAUAGCCGGCCCAACGGCCGGGUAAUACCGCAUACGUUCACUGGACGGCAUCGCCUGGUGAGGAAACCUCCGGGGCUAAUCGAGGCGCUCGCGGCCUAUCAGCUAGUUGGCGGGGUAACGGCCCACCAAGGCUAUGACGGGUAGCUGGUCUGAGAGGAUGGGCAGCCACAUUGGGACUGCGACACGGCCCAGACUCCUACGGGAGGCAGCAGUGGGGGAUAUUGCGCAAUGGACGAAAGUCUGACGCAGCGACGCCGCGUGUGGGAUGAAGCUCUUCGGGGUGUAAACCACUGUUGCCCGGGACGAACCUCCCCUUUCGAGGGGACUGACGGUACCGGGUGAGGAAGCACCGGCUAACUCUGUGCCAGCCGCCGCGGUAAAAC